UCCUAAGAAGAAACACAGAAUUAGGAGACUGGAAAUUCCAUCAUCACUAGUUCUGCCCUGCUACUUCAGUCAACUGUGCUUUAAACAUAAAACCAGUCACAGGGGAAUCCAUUUUUUCUUCUUUCCACCAUUUUCAAAGGAGACACUUAGAGAAGUUCUCAAAGUGCAUGCAGUCAUGGUUCCUACAUGGCUUCUGAGCUAACUGCCACCAAAGCUUGGGCAAGAGUACAUCUUAAACCAUGCUGAUUGAUGUUGGAACAGUCACUAAUGCACUGCUCAUAGAAAUGAAGUAUAUUUUCAAGGUUUGUCAAAGUAUGAAAACAUUAGUAUUUACUUGGGCCAAUCUAAUUAGAUAGAUUAGGGUCAAUAAUUUCUGACAUAACAUUUCAAACUAAAAGCUUUCAGGCUAGGCACUUUGGCAGCAGAAAUUAUUCCUUGUCCUUUAGAUCUCUGGGCCCACUUAUACUAUGAAGCAGCCCUGGAUGGAAACAGAUUCUACACCAGCUGAGGCCCUCCACUAUCUGACUAAGUGAGUUUCUGGAAUUCAGAAUGCUGGAUGAGCUUUCAAGCGACCAAAACAGAGGCUAACAACAUGCCAUCAGGAGAACAACUUAAUCUCACC